rnacentral:lncRNA from 1 species
AACUUUUUUUUUUUAAAGUUUUGACAGAAGGAAAAAUAACAACUAAGAUUUUGGGUGUUUACGAUUAUUUCAUCCAACCUUUUUUUUUCCCUCCUUUGAAAACUAUAAUUAUUACUAUUAUUAUCUAUGACUAUAAUGGGUUAAAAAAAGGGGGAAACUCAUUAAACUUAAAAAUAAUAAUUAAUGUAUAUAAGAGAUGACCGUGAGAUGAGUAAAUCGGAGUGACAUCAUGAAUCAUGAAGGUGGCACAGAAUCAGAGUGGUAAUUAAUUUACUAAUAGUCUAAUAUGAAACCAACAAAGUGUUGGCUCUACUGAUAAUGGAGUCUCUUUAAAUGGCUUGACUGGGUUGUUGCUCAGUUCGAAUCGUAGGGAAAUCGCUUGUGUUGGGAGAAACUGUACCUUUUGGUUCGAGCAGGGACUUCUAAUUUGAAUUGUGGUACAAACUUAAAGCUAUCUCCCACAGUUAGGACUUUCCCCAUAAUACCUCGUGGUUAAGAAAAAAAAAAAAAAAAAGUCGAAUAUGACAAACACACGAGACUCGAGCCGUUCAACGCGGCAAGAUUAAUCUGAGAUGACUAAGUCAAUGACGCACGUGGCCAAAUGAUCAUUGAUUGUUGUGCGGUUGGAUUAGUGGUACUAUGUGCAAAGAAAAUAACAGAACAUCAUUAUAAAAUAAGAUAUUUUGCGAUACAAAAAUAUUUUAUGACAAAUAUUUUAUGAUUUUGUUGUAAUUUUUGUACUAUUUUUUAUACAAUUUUUUUAGUUAAUGUGAGUAACACGUGGAGUUGGUUGGGCUAACUUGGGUUGGGCUUUUGAACAUGAUCUGGUUAUCAAUGAUGCUUUCAACAAAAGACUAAUAAAAUAAAAUAACCAUAAAAAAGUAAAAAAAAAAAAAAACUAUAUAAUUUUGGUUGUUAUUUUUUCUUUCUUGUUUCUUUUAACAACCAAAACUAUGGUGUUUUAGUGAUUUUUUAUUCAUUAUUUUUUCAUCAUUUUGUACCAAUAUGGUUGUUCAUAUCUAGCACGCAGACAUUUGUCUAAUCUAGGUUCGUUCACAUUUUAAAUUAUAAAAAUUUCAAUGUAUAUGCUUAGUGUUUGGGGGUAAUUCUGGAUUUUAUUACUUGGACCAAUAAUAGGUCAAUACAUGGCAAGAAAAAAAUUGUAUAUACGUAUAUCACAGUAUUUAAAAAUUUCAAUGUAUAUGCUUAGUGUUUGGUCGAUGCUAACGCUGAUUAAUUGGGUUUAUUUAAUCUGCCAAUCACAAAAGUCGAUGAAUUUGAAUCUACCUAUUGGCUUAAUUAAUUUCCAUACCACAAAGAAGCUAUAUAUAUUAUACAUGAAAUGAUUUGUAAGCUUCAAAGCCUACAAGGGUGUUCAUACUAAAUGAAAUACAAUCUCAUUCUGGAGUCAAAUUAAUAGAUAUCAUGAUCCAAGAACGUGCAAACUAAAUAAAAGAAUUCCUUAAUCUAUAUAUUUAUGUAUAAAGUAAUGCAGUGGGAAGCUAGAAACAAGACUAAUUUAAGAUUAACGAUGAUGAUGAAUUGGGGAUGAGGCUGAGACAGCAGGAAGUUGGGUAAUAAUUGAAUCAUCAAUAUCUCCGGUAGGUGCAGGUGUAAGUGAUUGCUGCAUAUCCUUUGGAGAAGGAGAUGGCUCUCCACCUGAAGGCAUGUCUUGUAGUACAGCAAGCAUCCGCCGAAUGCUUACCGACCGAGCCGGUUUGAAGCUGCUGCUACUGCUCCUGAUCAUCUUUUUGUUUUUUGAGAAAAUGCUUGAUGAUUUCGAUAGUAUCAGAUACACCAAAGCUUGCACCACCCCAAACAAGGCCACCUUCAUCAACGUAUCAUGAUUCAACCACUCUUCAAUCAUCAUCUUCUUGUGUAUACACGCACCUCUUUAUUAAUUCUCAAGCAUAAGACGAUCAAUCGACCAAAGGUUAAUAAUAAUUGAUCAGUUACGUACGUUGUAGCUAGACUCAAAGACGUUAGUUUAUUUCUCAAUAAUAAGAUUAUGCAAUGCAAGCGUCCCUUACACACACACACACACAUAUAUAUAUAUACGCACACACACAGAGACUUCUUAACUAACGAAGCCUACCUUUUUGACGUUGGCUCAAGCUCAGAAAGGUCCACCACAAGAGGGGGCAUGGAAAUUUCCGCGUUACAUAUGUUUACAUAUUGAUUCAUCAAAUAAUUGAACCCCUUUGAGAGUCUUGUAACGACUUUAGGACUUUGAUUUUGCGGCUUCUUUGACUGUCUAAACUCCAAAUAGGUUUAGCUAUAUUAAUUACCAGGACACUAGGACAAGGCCAGGUGUAUUAAUUGUAUAUUACUGUAUAGGAACUAAGUUCAUGUUGACUCCGUCAACUUUGACUUCAUGCGGACGAUUGGUUUAAUUCUAAAAGAGGUGAGCUCGAUCGAGAAAGAGAAAUGAUGAUUUAAUUGGUUGAUAUAUUUUAUUAUAUUACAUUAUUUGUCCAUUUGUUCAGUUGCGUACGGUGAUUGAUUAUACUCGUGCUUAAUUAUAUUGAAUGAUAAAAAGUCACGUGUAUCAUUGAUUGAUUAAUGGGUCCUGUGUCUGAAUCGGAUUACGAUCUUCUUCAAGAAGAAGAGGAGACGUAGAGCAAAUUGUUCUGGUCUUCUUCCCUCCAGGCGUCGGACUCCGAUCAGAUGACGACGACAAUGAUAAAAGAUUACUUGCACGGAACAAAUUUGUCAUUUCUGAUUUGAUGAUAUCUCUAUCCAUUUCGAUUCGAUAGUUGCUUGCUUCUAAGGUUAUUGUUAAUUUAUUUAUUUAUUAUGUGGCACCGCGUCGUUUUAGUUUGUCAUCUUAUUCCCAAGGCCGUCCUUAUCACUUUCCUUCGGUGAAUGUGCCAAGUGGGCGGGCCACUUGUCAUCUUGGAAUAUGAUGCAUGGAGACCACAAGAUUGGAAAUCAAACAGCAACCAGUAGAAUGGAAUGGAAUGGAAAUGCAAUGAAUAAUUAGAUGGAACAAUUGAACAAGAUGAUUACGUCUUUAAGUCUAAUUAUACAAUCCAAAUCCAAGAUUGAACAAGCUUUGUUCACACUAAAUGCUAAAAAAAGCAACACAAAAUCUCUAUCAUCAGCUGGCUUAAUUAUCAUAAUUAUUAUUGCUGUACGUAGAAGCUAGCAGGACCUUCCGCUGCAGAUUUAUACAUGAUCAGAAUUCAGAAGGAUAAUAUAAAUGGCGGCAAUCUUACGUUUCUCUAACAAGACCCGCAAUCAAGUUCUAACCAGAUUAUAAGCAGAGGCCUCUAAAUCGAAACUGAAAGGUCAAGAGUAAAACAUCUCUCAACAACGAAACCGGAAAAGUGAAAAUACCUAGCAAGCCAUUUCAUUUCAUUCAUUUACUGAAAAUAGCUAGACGAACAAGCCCAGCUCACCACGUUGGAUGGAUUAAUCAUUGGUAAUUGGAACCUGCAGAGAGGACAGGAAGAUUGGUGGGAAAGCCAAGGGAGGAUGCAUUCAGAAUGGUAAAGAUGGUUACAAGGUAGUUGUUUGGCUCCAGAAUGAAGAGAGAACUCAUCUUUGCAAAUAGCACAAGUCUCUUGUGAUAAGGACUCUGAGAUUUCUACACUGUUCAUUCUCAUUCCCACUGACGAUGAAUUAUCCAGACCACUAGCAACUGAAUUGGAUGGAUCAUUGCCUUCACAACCAUAAUCAAACUGCAGGGAGUUGAAGUCAAUGUCUGUGGUUAAUUGUUGCUGCAGUGUUAAUAGAUUUGGUGAAUCGGGGUUAAUGGAUUCCAUAUGUUCAAGAAAGUGGGUUUGGCAUUGAGGGCAUAGAACUUCUUGUAAAGGUAGGGUGGUGACGGUGGUGGAGAAGACGAGGCUAACGCUCAUGUCACAUUCAUGGCACCAGUACGUCAAUCUUACGCUGCUGCUGCUGGACAUUUUGGUUUGGCCAAUCUUAUUAUUUGUUCGUUUGUUUCUGCGUUUUCAUUUUUGGUUGAAUAUUAAAGAAAGAAUGGCCGUGUAUGAGUAUGAGCGAUACUCAUUUGUGUGUGGGGCUGCCUUGCCUUUUCCUUUUAGACAUUAGCAUUUGCUACCUUUCGGCUGGUGGUACUGCCAGUGCCGGUGCUCUGUCCUAUUCAUUGUCAGUUUUCGUGGUUAACAAACUAUUAAUAAUAGAUAGAUUUUCAUGGUGGAUUACUUAACACAAAGUGACGCUUUGGCCGAGUGGUUAAGGCGUGUGCCUGCUAAGUACAUGGGGUUUCCCCGCGAGAGUUCGAAUCUCUCAGGCGUCGCUGGUAACUUUUUCUUUUUGUAUUUAUUUACUUAUCUAUAAUGGUCACUUUUCUUCAAUCUAGGCUAGGGUUUCCUCCCUUCCGCUGUUGUCUUGCUGCCCAGUUCGAAAUGCCAAAGUUUCAGGUUAGAAUCUGUUACAGACAACAGAAAAUUCUAUUAUCAUUUCGUGGGUUUUCCUUGAUUUCAAUUUUUGCGCACUUUGCUGAAACUCUCUCCAACAGAAAAUUCCUUGAUUUCAUGUUUUCUGUAAUUUCCCAUUUGACUCUUUAUAAUUGCUUGGAAAUUCAUUGCCAAUUAUCCUUAUAAACCCAUCGUUGUUUAUUAUUAUUAUUGUUAUUUAAUAGUUUGUGAACUGGAGAUAACAUAGCUUCCUUUAUAAUUCAGUGUAAUUAUUGAACACAGUUUUUUGCAUUGCAUUGAACAACUUGCCAAACAAUGAUCAUGUUCUGUCCAUGCUGAAAAGGUCAUGUCUUGAUGCAAACAAGUACCUUGCUCAUAUUAAUGCGCAUUUUUACUUGAGUGUUUGAUCUGCACAUAUUUUAAAUUCGUACCGUAUGAGCUGGUUUUGAUCUCAAUAUUGAUGUCAUUGGAGAACACUUUUCUUGGUGUUAAUAAUGUGAAACAAUCUCCUCCACACCUAGAAGAACAGCCUUUACGUCAGUGCCCGUAAUAUAUAAGUAGAUAUCAGGAAAAGGUUGUGCCAUGAUAGUUAAACUAAGUAGACUACUGUAUAUUACAUGCUAGAAAUUGUUGUUCAUUAUUUGAAUGGAUUUCUGUCCAUAGGGGAAUGGAUACAAGCUUUUAAGUACACUCUGUCGGAACAGAAUAUGAGUGGUAAAAAAUGAAUGUCGUGAAAGUUUAUGAAGGUUUUCAUUUUCCAAUGAGGUAACAUUUAUGUUCUGUGAAAUAGGAUAUCCAUCCUCUAAUUUAUAAUUGACGGCAAGAAGGUUCUUAGUUGUGUAUUCAAUCUUUUGAGAGGCUCAUGGAGCUUUCUGACUACUAAAAGACAAGGAGUUCGCAGUUAAGAGUAGCUUGAUUCUGUUAUGUUCUGCAAUAUUUGAUUUGAGUAAAAGGUCAAGUAUAUUGAGGUUUGUCAUACAAAACUUUUUGGCAUUGAUGCUUUGCAAUGUGUUAGUGGAAUUGUUGUAUUUUAUACAAUUUGACUUGCACAUGCAAGCCAAACUCUGCCUUGCCUACUCUUCUAGUACUUUUGUUGUCUCUAUUCACUAACGACUUAUGUCUCCUAUGACUAAGAGUAUAGAAAUUUCUAAAGCGCCAGAUAUCGGACACGGAGGAUAUGCUAUAUCUCUAUCUAGAAGAACCAAGAUGUGAUCUAAUUGGUAAGAUAAAUGUCCAGCAUUGGAGUUCAUGCUCACUGAUAUACCUAGAGGCUUCAAGAAUGGCACAUGAUAAUUAACCAUACCAGUCUCCAGAAUUGAUUCUCAAGUGCAUUUAGAUCGGGUUGCCUAGCAUUAGCACCCUACCAAACUUU